rnacentral:ncRNA from 1 species
CAGAGUAGGAAUAUCAGCGUUAAGUGACUUUAGAACGGGGAGUUGUCUUUAGUACGAAGCGUAAGCGCGGUUGAUAUUCCGCAUCCCGCU